rnacentral:rRNA from 1 species
UACGUAGGGACCAAGCGUUGUUCGGAUUUACUGGGCGUAAAGCGCGCGUAGGCGGACCUGCAAGUCGGGGGUGAAAGCCCGAGGCUCAACCUCGGAACUGCCUUCGAUACUGCGGGUCUCGAGUCCGGGAGAGGUGAGUGGAACUGCGAGUGUAGAGGUGAAAUUCGUAGAUAUUCGCAAGAACACCAGUGGCGAAGGCGGCUCACUGGCCCGGUACUGACGCUGAGGUGCGAAAGCGUGGGGAGCAAACAGG